rnacentral:misc_RNA from 1 species
GCAACUUCUUCAUAUAAUACUUGGAAUUACGGGAUAGAUUGAUCUUCUUCCUCCUUUUCUCUGGUAUCAUAUCAAUUGAACAUUCUGAGAAGCCACGAGCCACGCCUCUUGAACCAGUCUGCUGCACGGGUUGUAAGCAGAAAGAGCAUUUCCAAAUUUAGGGAGGAGGCUUUCUUCUCAAUGAAAUCAAGCAAUUUGUCUCCCUGUCCUUGUCCACGGCACUCAGGAGACACUGCAAUAGCCGCAACUUCUCCACAUUUCUCCUCAAAGAAAGGGAAAAGGGCAGCACAAGCAAUGAUUUGACCUUCUCUUUCCACAACAACAAAUGAAUCCAAAGUUUUAAGCAGCUCUUCAUCAGUCCGUUGCACCAAUACACCAGAAUCUUCUAAAGGUUGUACGAUUCGUUUUAUUCCUGAGAGAUCUGUCACCAUUGCCAUCCGGGUUCCUUCAUAAACAUCACUAGCCACCAUUGUCCCCAUCCCAUCUCUUUUAAAAAGUUCCAACAAUAGAACCCCACCGAUUGUCCCAUCUAAAAGAUGUACUCUUUGAACACCUCCUUUACAAACAAAAGCUGCUGCAGCCAAUUCUGAAAGGUACCCAUUUGAUCGACUUUGCCGUUCAUGACCUCCAAUGGCAAAACCUUGUUCCCCAGAAAACCCAUUCCCAUUGUCAAAGCCAACACCAUUCUGGAAGGUAGCACUAUGCCUUCCACUAAGAGGCUUACCAUUCUGUGACAAAAGGGAAACUCUAACAGAAUCAUUGUGUUCGAAAGAAGAAAAAUCUUCUUUGCCAACAGCUUUCACAUAGUGAGCUGCUAUCUCACUUUGCUUAGCUCGCUUACGAAUCAACAUAUCUGCUUCGUCAAUAGCCAAGAAGCGAAUAAGGUGUCCACUCUCAUCAAGAAUUGGACCAUCUACAAUGCAUAAAAGCUUAUCUGCCUCAAUAGCCAGGGCACAUGCUGUAGCAACUUCAUACGUGUUGCAAUUUAGAACUUCUCCAGAGCUAGAAUAGCCCAGGUUGCUCAAUAGAACUAUAGAACCACCAUCAAGCCUUUCACGCAUGCGAGUAACAUCUACUUUCUUUACUUCACCAGUU